GAUGAACGCUGGCGGCGUGCCUAAUACAUGCAAGUCGAGCGAACGGACGAGAAGCUUGCUUCUCUGAUGUUAGCGGCGGACGGGUGAGUAACACGUGGAUAACCUACCUAUAAGACUGGGAUAACUUCGGGAAACCGGAGCUAAUACCGGAUAAUAUUUUGAACAGCAUGGUUCAAAAGUGAAAGACGGUCUUGCUGUCAUUUAUAGAUGGAUCCGCGCUGCAUUAGCUAGUUGGUAAGGUAACGGCUUACCAAGGCAACGAUGCAUAGCCGACCUGAGAGGGUGAUCGGCCACACUGGAACUGAGACACGGUCCAGACUCCUACGGGAGGCAGCAGUAGGGAAUCUUCCGCAAUGGGCGAAAGCCUGACGGAGCAACGCCGCGUGAGUGAUGAAGGUCUUCGGAUCGUAAAACUCUGUUAUUAGGGAAGAACAUAUGUGUAAGUAACUGUGCACAUCUUGACGGUACCUAAUCAGAAAGCCACGGCUAACUACGUG
rnacentral:rRNA from 1 species